rnacentral:misc_RNA from 1 species
ACACACUCAAGCUCUGCUUGGUAUUGGGAAUCACUGGUCACCUAGUGUACCCUAAAAUCAGUGGCAGUGCCAUUCGGCUUCAAGCGUAGUAAAUCUCUCGCUCUGGAUGUCUGGGUGGUGCCCGCCAACAACAGCCUAAAUUUUUCA